UACGAAGGGUGCAAGCGUUACUCGGAAUUACUGGGCGUAAAGCGUGCGUAGGUGGUUUGUUAAGUCUGUUGUGAAAGCCCCGGGCUCAACCUGGGAAUGGCAAUGGAUACUGGCAAGCUAGAGUGCGGUAGAGGGUAGUGGAAUUCCCGGUGUAGCGGUGAAAUGCGUAGAGAUCGGGAGGAACACCAGUGGCGAAGGCGGCUACCUGGACCAGCACUGACACUGAGGCACGAAAGCAUGGGGAGCAAACAGG
rnacentral:rRNA from 1 species